ACGUAGGUGGCAAGCGAUACUCGGAAUCACUAGGCGUAAAGCGCAGGUAGGCGGUUCGGUAAGUCUUUUGUGAAAGCUCCCGGCUUAACUGGGAGAGGUCAAGGGAAACUACCGGGCUAGAGUUUGGUAGGGGAUACUGGAAUUCCUGGUGUAGCGGUGAAAUGCGUAGAUAUCAGGAGGAACACCGGUGGUGUAGACGGCUCUCUGGACCGUAACUGACGCUGAGACACGAAAGCGUGGGUAGCAAACAGGA
rnacentral:rRNA from 1 species